AGUGCCAAAAUUUGUGUUUAACCUUAACCAUUAUAGUCAAUGCCUUAACCUAGUCUACAGAUAAAAACAGGCCAAACCAUUAGUUUACGUAUAAAAGUAAAAUAGUAAGAAAUAAAAGUUUGAUAACAAUUUUAAAAACAAAGAUCUUCUGAAGCAGGCGGUGGAGUUGAUGGGUUCAGAAAAGAAGUUGAAGGUGAAGUGGAAGAUAGUGGGCAUUGUAUUUAUUAUAUUAAUAAAUUGUCUUGAAAUGUGAA